AGAAUCUUGGACAAUGCGCGAAAGCGUGAUCCAGCGACGCCGCGUGUAGGAUGAAGGCCUUCGGGUUGUAAACUCCUGUUGUCAGGGAGCAAAUGGCAGUGAGCUAAUACCUCAUUGCCUUGAUAGUACCUGACGAGGAAGCCACGGCUAACUCUGUGCCCGCAGCCGCGGUAAUACAGAGGUGGCAAGCGUUGUUCGGAUUUACUGGGCGUAAAGGGUGCGUAGGAUGUUGUGUGUGUCGGAUGUGAAAUCUUGCUGUUUAUCGGCAAAACUGCAUUCGAAACUACAUGACUAGAGUACAGGAGAGGAGAGCAGAAUUCUCGGUGUAGCGGUGAAAUGCGUUGAUAUCGAGAGGAAUGCCGGUGGCGAAGGCGGCUCUCUGGACUGUAACUGACUCUGAGGCACGAAAGCUAGGGGAGCAAAC
rnacentral:rRNA from 1 species